rnacentral:rRNA from 1 species
GUGGGGAAUAUUGGGCAAUGGGCGAAAGCCUGACCCAGCAACGCCGCGUGAAGGAAGAAGGUCUUCGGAUUGUAAACUUCUUUGAUCAGGGACGAAAGAAAUGACGGUACCUGAAGAACAAGCCACGGCUAACUACGUGCCAGCAGCCGCGGUAAUACGUAGGUGGCAAGCGUUAUCCGGAUUUACUGGGUGUAAAGGGCGUGUAGUCGGUUCUGCAAGUCAGAUGUGAAAUUCCCGUGCUUAACCCGGGCGCUGCAUCUGAAACUGCAGAACUUGAGUACUGGAGAGGAUAGUGGAAUUCCUAGUGUAGCGGUAAAAUGCGUAGAUAUUAGGAGGAACACCAGUGGCGAAGGCGGCUAUCUGGACCGUAACUGACGCUGAGGCGCGAAAGCGUGGGGAGCGAACAGGAUUAGAAACCCCAGUAGUCC